CAGCCGUAAGGACAUGUGGACAGUAUGGGAGUGAGAAAGUGGGCAAGAGUAGCGAGAUGUGGGUGAGAAUACCACAGGCCGAAAAACAAAGGUUUCCAGGGGAAGGUUCGUCCGCCCUGGGUUAGUCGGGACCUAAGCUGAGGCCGAAAGGCGUAGGUGAUGGACAACAGGUUGAUAUUCCUGUCCUACCGAUAACCGUUUGAGAGAAGGGCUGACACAGUAGGAUAAGCUACGCACACUGUUGGUUAUGUGUGCCAAAGCAUUGAGGCAGUCAACGUAGGCAAAUCCGCUUUGAUAAGGCUGGGAGGUGAAUGGGGUGGUAG
rnacentral:rRNA from 1 species